GAGAAAGAUACUCUGCUAGCUUCAGAUUCAUUAGUACUAGGAAAUGGAGAGAUAGGAGGUAUAAUGUAUUAGGGAAGCAAGGGAUUCAGAACCAGGUGCCCACUGACUCUGAGAAGCACUGGGUGCACAGAGGGUAGCAGACAAGCAAGAGGGUGGAAUUUGCAGCAUCUCAUCUUGGUGAGACAGUUGGAAGACUUUUCUGCCAAUUAUAGUGGUUAAACACUGACUCAACAUCAAACAACGGCAUGAGGGGUCAGAGCCUUCAUUCGUGGACAAGUUUCAAAAACAUGGGAGCACCACCUGUCAUGAGCAAUUUAGUCAGAACAGAAGAGAAUAGAUCACACCCAACAAGACAGAAAAAGCUGCUUUCUGGAGAGGGCGGGAGCUAAUAUUUCCUAACACGGUGAAAUUGUGAAGUGCUUUUUGCAGCCCUUCAUAAUUUCAUCAUCCAAAGGGUUUGCUUUUGGAAUUCUUAGACACUUAAUUCUGUCCCUGCUUUCCGUGUCACUUCCACGGGACACUGAAUUUGGGAAGAGGGAGACCUCACCAAUGAUGGGAAGAACAGAUUGGGGGCUGGCGCCCUUUUGGGUUUGCCAUGUGAACAUCCUCCUGGAACAGUCUCCAUUCUGUCCCAGCAAGACACACUCUGCUCUGUGAAGAACCCAGGUGGGAAAAAAAAAAAAAUCUAUGAGGCCACAGUGGAAAUGCAGCUCAGCAGGACUCUCAGGUACCCCAAAAUUGUCCCAUCUGACAACUCACCACAUUCUAUUUAUUUAUUUAUUUAUUUAUUUUGAGAUGGAGUCUCACUGUGUCACCCAGGCUGGAGUGUAGUGGCGUGAUCUAGGCUCACCGCAGCCUACGCCUCCCAGAUUCAAGCGAUUCUCCUGCCUCAGCCUCCCAUGUAGCUGAGACUACAGGCAUGCGCCACCACACCCAGCUAAUUUUUGUAUUUUUAGUAGAGAUGGGGUUUCGCCAUGUUGCCCAGGCUGGUCUCAAACUUCUGACCUCAGGUGAUCCACCCCCGCCCCUCAGCCUCCCAAAGUUCUGGGAUUACAGUCAUGAGACACUGCACCUGGCCAACACAUUCUGUUUUCAUCAUUAGUGCCUGUCCUCCCUGCUAGCUCAUGGGCUCCCCCAGAGCAGGCAUGUUUGCCCUAGUCACCAUCAAAACUGUCUUAGUACCUGUCACGGUGCCUGGCACAUAGCAGUUAUUCAGUAAAUGUUUGUUGAAUAAAUCAACUAUAAACAU
rnacentral:lncRNA from 1 species